UACAGAGGGGGCAAGCGUUGUUCGGAAUUACUGGGCGUAAAGGGCGCGUAGGCGGCCUGCUAAGUCGAACGUGAAAUCCCUGGGCUCAACCCAGGAACUGCGUCCGAUACUGGUUGGCUUGAAUCCGGGAGAGGGAUGUGGAAUUCCAGGUGUAGCGGUGAAAUGCGUAGAUAUCUGGAGGAACACCCGUGGCGAAAGCGGCUCUCUGGGACGGUACUGACGCUGAGACGCGAAAGCGUGGGGAGCAAACAGG
rnacentral:rRNA from 1 species